CUCGGGCCUUCCACCGUGCAGCUAAAUGUUAUCAAUCAAAACACCGGCGAUGCCCCGCGCGUCUUUCAAUUUGCAUUUGCGUGCACCCUGGGUCGGGGGUGUUAAGGAGAUACAGACAGCAUCAGACUGUUGGUGAACGAAGCGAGAUAUCAGCAGCAGAUAACAGGAUGAAUGUUACUGUUUUUGAGAAUGCCUCCUUGCUGCUCCCCGGAGAAACCUUCCUCAGCAGCCACAUACGCCUGUUGCCCAAUGUUCUCAGCCUGAUCCUGCGAUUCCCCGUCAAUGUCUACGUCCUGCAGAUUAUAAUGUCGCGAAACAUGUUCACCUCGGAGUUCUACUCUUUCAAACAGGCCCUUUUUGAAGUUAUGUGCUUCUACGACUUUUUGGGAGUGGUCUUCUUUGUGUCCCCGAACUGGUAUUUGUGGAAAAUCCAGCACUUUUUCCUGGGAUUCAUAAUGACGGCUCGCCCGUGUCUCCUGGCGUUGAUUUGCGUGGAGCGCUACCUGGCAGUGGUUAAACCUGUGGCCUUCCUGAGGAUGAAGUCACUGAAGUACAAACUGGCCAUGUCAGCGAUUAUCUGGUUGUGGACUGUGACUACUGGCGUGUGCAUCUUGGUGUUGACGGAUUUUAAAAACGGUCUUGUGUGGCAGAUCGCUGUGUGUUGCAUAGUGAACCUUUACUGUUGCAUCGCUACCCUUCACGCACUGAGACGGCCCGGUCCAGGAGAAGGGCCCAGGCAGAGAGAGGGGAUGAGCAACGUAAAACUGAAGGCUUUUAGGAUAAUAUUGAUUCUCACGGUUUCAGUCUUUCUCACGUAUGUCCCCUUGGUGCUUGUUGUUCUUUUUAAGAAGUACUUUAAAGAGGAAGUAUUUGCGGACAUCCUUGAUAUCUUCUUCAUCUGCACUGCUCUUUCGGGGUUCAUCCAGGCCUCGCUGUUCCUCCAAAGGCUCGGUAAACUGACCUUCAUCAAAUGGCCGUGAGAUCUGAUAAUCAAACUCCAUGAUCUCUGAAGCAGCCUCAAUCGCUGUUCCAAGAUAGAUGACUGCAAAGCGCUAUUCCCCGAGACUACCACCUCAUUCAGCCUUUUUGAUGAUGAUACUUGAUCAUUGAACUUGAAUGAGACGGAAAGAUUGACUCUACGUCUGCCUGUUUAUGCAAAGCCACGCAGGAUGUAGCUUAACCCCAACUUUACCUUUAGUCUUUGUAUUUUGCCAAAAGGGUCAACAUUAACACGGCAGUCCAAACAGGUUGAAAGCUCAUUUGUACAGCAGGUGGGGCGUCUGUUGAGGAAAACACUGGUACCAAAGUCCCGCGCUACAAAAGUAAGAUUUUAAUUUGGAAUGUGAGAAUCUAUCUGCCAAAAAUCCCUUUUCUGCAAACACGUUAGGCUACAUUCAAGGAUCCUGUUUUAUUGUUGUGGCAGAGCUGAGUUUUCUUAUUUUACUUUAUGAUCAGCAAACUUGUCAACUUAGUCUUAGAACUUUUCUCUGAACACCACAUACCGAUGCACCAACAUAGCUGCCUGCAUCCUCUUCUAUAUGUUUUAUGUCCAACCGGUACGUGACAGCUAUUAAAUCUAAAUUAAAGUUAUUAAAUCUUUGUUUAAAUAGUUCAUAUCACUUUUUUUUUAAACUAACUGCCAGUUGCUACUUAAAUGAACUAUGAGUCGUGACCUUUCUGAUUACUAUCAGCAUUGUAUGAAGGAUUUACUGGUGACUACAAAAGUUUUUUCUUCCUUUUUUUUCGAAGAAAAGAAGAUAUUCUGAAAGUAUGCUUUGUUUUUAUAGGACAACUAAAUGAGAAGAUGGACGGAAAUAUCAUUCUGCCAGAUGUUCCAUCUCUCCAUCUCCUUUGUACAAAUGCCUGGCUUCCGUGCAUAAUCAGUGUGGCUCCUGGUCUCCCUGCCAACGUAUGUGUCAUGUGGCUCAUUUUGGCAAAGCCAGCGGAUGAAGCUGCAGACGUCUUUUCUCUUAACCAGGCCGUAUGUGAAGUUUGUCAAAUGCUGUGUUUUUGAUCGCGAUAACAGUGUCCGAUGACUUUUCCCUCCACUAUCACAGCCUCAGAAUUCAUUGGGGAUUGAUGUUUUCACGACGCCCAAUGUUUUUGAGCUUCAUCUGCUUGGAGCUCUAUCUGUCAGUUGUUCAUCCUGUGACCUUCCUGAGGUACAAGCCCUUGAGAUACAAAGUAGCUGCAAUGACCUUUUCUUGGUUGACGUUGUCGGUGUUUUGUAUAAUAUUUUUGUGGGUACCGUAUCCAGAAAUGUUUUCCGUGCUCUUUGGCGCGGCCAUCCCCUGGUUUCCGUGCAGCUCGUUUUUCAUGGUUGAGACACUGCGCACAGUUGUAAGGCCGGGACCAGGAGAAGAUAACCAGGGACGCAACGGGAUGAGCAGUGCAAAGCGUUACGCUUUCAAAAUCAUCAUCGUGGCUACAUCUCUCUACAAUAUGUCUUAUGUCUUUUCGAUCGUUUUGUUUGGUCAUACAUCAAUAGAGGACAGCUAUAAAAUGUUCUGCAUCUCUUACUACGUGUCUUUGGUGGCUUUCUGCCUCCCAAGCCUCUUCUACUUCCACAGAGUUAGAAGACUGCAAAAUUCUACCAAAGAUGCAGUGUAGAGAUCAGCAGCACACCGUCAAAUGUAACAUGAAAGGCAAUUUUUAGAUCUCCAAUGUUGAACUUCAGUUAAGCUAAAUAAACUACAUUUAUGUUUGAUUUCUUUAGUUGUCCUGGUUAGAGAGCCACAUUACACCGUCUGAAAAUCACUAUUCAACGAUUCGAGAUUCUGUAAAAACAGCGACUGUUGGCAUGGUUACUGUUCCUGUUCGCAUGCAAGCUGCUCCAUCAUGCCUCUUAUUUUUGUUUUCUAUAUUAAUAUGAAAAAAGUCACCUAUUCAAUUCUGACGGUGAAUUAUUCACUACUAAAUCCUGAUUAUUACUUUUUGUGAUGUAGUUUUAAUUAUUUGACAUCUUCAAUAACAUUCUUUGUUGACGGUACAGCUGCACUGCAGCUCCUGUUCUGGAUUCCCGAGCAUGCAUAUUAGAGAAAAAGGGUUGUGUAUUUGUAUUCUUAUGUUUGCUCACUGCUUUGUCUCAGUCAAGUGGAGGCAUCUGAGUUUUAGAACUUUGUGAAUCAUCUUUCUGUUUUGUGACAGUUUGAGGUGAUGCAGAAAAAGCAGAUUGACUUAAACAACAAACUAUUUCAACGUUUGCUUUGACACACUGGAGUCGUACUGUGCUUUUAGUUUAUAGUUGAACUCUUUUACAAUAAUUACAUUGAUUUGUUUGAUUGAGGGUGUGAUGGUUAUAUUUGUGACUUAUUUUCUUGUGUGAUAUUUAAAAAAAGUUAUACUGAUUUGUGGUGUGAAGAAUAUAAACUAGGCCUUGAAGUCGGAUAUCUGACUCGUGUGCUUUUAUUUCUCUCUAACUCAGCUGAGUGUCGUUUCUGUGAUGACUUAGACUGAGAGCGACUGUUCACCAGAGACCCCCCCACCGCCCACCGGCCGCCCCAACGGCCACCUGCUGGUCAUGAACAGAGUCUUUGUGAUAUGUGACGCAACCGCCUCAUCUGCCUUCCCCUCACGGCUCAGCAACCGCCGCGUCCGAAAGGCAGCGACAUAGUCCGUUUAAUUGGAGCUGAUCAUAAACUUGAUUUUAAAGUGUUCCCAGAGUCGUAAAAUCAACCUCGA
ensembl:lncRNA